GUUUCGGGUGGGGCGGUGCGUUCCAGUCGCUGACGCUUGACAGGCGUCCGAGCGACCGCGUACAUUGCUUUUGCCUCGUGAUGAGCGAGGCCGGGAUU
rnacentral:tRNA from 1 species